rnacentral:rRNA from 1 species
CUUGCAUCUCUUGAGAGUGGGAACGGGUGAGUAACACGUAGGUGAUCUACGCAGGGGUUGGGGAUAGGGAGGGAGACAUGGGGUAAUACCGAAUACGUUGGGUCCGCUUUGGCGGACUCAAGAAAGGCGCUUCGGCGUCGCCCUGCGAUGAGCCUGCGCCCCAUUAGCUAGUUGGUAGGGUAAAGGCCUACCAAGGCGACGAUGGGUAGCCGGCCUGAGAGGGUGAUCGGCCACACUGAGACUGAGAUAGGGACCAGAGGCCUACNGGAGGCAGCAGCUAAGAAUCUUCCGCAAUGGACGAAAGUCUGACGGAGCGACGCCGCGUGGGUGAAGAAGGCCGGAAGGUAGUAGAGCCCUUUACUUGUUGAGGAAUAAGCACAGGAGGGAAUGCCUGUGCGAUGACGAGAGGCGAGGAAUAAGUCCCGGCCAAUUACGUGACAGAAGCCGAGGUAACACGUAUGGGACGAGCGUAGUUCGGACUCAUUGGGCGUACCGGGCGCGUAGGCGGCGAGGUAAGCCUGGU